rnacentral:lncRNA from 1 species
AAGACAUCUGUUUUCUGAUGGGUUAGGUUUUGAAAUUCCUACAUUUUAAAACAAGCAUUUGAAAAAAUGGGAGAGUUUUUCCAUUCAGUUUUGUGAUAGUUCCAAAAUAAAAAUACAUCUUUAAGUAAAAUACUCCUGUUUCAGCUCCCCCACCCCCCAACAGUGAGGAUACAAAGUAACUGUGGCCUCGUCCCUCCUCAGAGUCCAGGGAUGGAGCGUUUUGGAGUGGGAUAGACCAGAACCUCUUCUUUCAAGGGACCAGCUGGAAAUGCUUGCUUGGUUCUGGGAAGGAGAUUCAAGACUCAAUGUACAGAAGAGAUGGAAGGCUGGAUGUUGCUGUCAUCAAUCGAGUGGUGAUCAACUCCAAAAGAUGGAUGUAGAUGACAGUGGAAAGAGACAGGGCCGUGUGAGGAAGGAAGGAGCUUGCUUCAACUACUGGCAGUGUUUGGCUUCUUCUCUUGGCCGUGGUUACAUACAUGUCAACACCGUAAUUACUCAUGAAACUUCGUAGUACAGCCUAGGCUUUCUUUCACGCCUAUAAAAUGCUUCAUAAUGCAAACAUUUGAAAACAGACAG